UACGUAGGGACCAAGCGUUGUUCGGAUUUACUGGGCGUAAAGGGCGCGUAGGCAGCGCGGUAAGUCACUUGUGAAAUCUCUGAGCUUAACUCAGAACGGCCAAGUGAUACUGCAGUGCUAGAGUGUGGAAGGGGCAAUCGGAAUUCUUGGUGUAGCGGUGAAAUGCGCAGAUAUCAGGAGGAACACCGGUGGCGAAGGCGGGUCUCUGGGCCGUAACUGACGCUGAGGAGCGAAAGCGUGGGGAGCGAACAGG
rnacentral:rRNA from 1 species